rnacentral:lncRNA from 1 species
GCCGGGAGGAGGAAGGGAAGGACCGCCGGCCGCUCCUCGGGACCCGCCCGCCCGCGCCCGAUCCCAUUUCGUCCCCUCUGAGGACCCUGAGCGAUCUGCCCGGGAUCCAGUCCUCCACGGGAGAAGCAGAACUGCCAAAGAGACAAGGGAACCGGCUGAACUGUUCAACCAUCAUCCAGCCCCCGGGACUGCCAGCCCUAGAUCUUCCUGCUGCUGCUGCUUCCACUGCUAGAGAAAUCGGAAUUUGCUGGGAAAAAAAACCGAACCAAAGCAAACCGAACCAAGAGCUUUUCAUCGCCCGGCCGAGGAAGGAAGGCAUGCUUCGCUGUUUCUGCUCCUCCUGUUUUCAUCCCCGUUAAAAGAUGCACUUUCUGUUGGAUGCUGUCACCGCGCUGAAU